CAAGUCUGCACACAGCAGGCAGCAACAGAAAUUUUUCACUCCUUCUUCAAUCUGGUGAAUAAAUCAAAAGAGGAGUUUGUCUGACUGUCAACCUACGUGCACCAAACACGUGGAGGACUGUACACAUACCUGUGGAGGAUGUAGAGGACCAUCUCUUUACUUCCUGCACUGGCAGCGUGAUGACGUCACCUGCAGCCGGACGAGUCGAGUGACGUGAGGUCGGCUCCCUUCAGGUGCGGCUCCCUCCAGGUGGUGC